GUUUUCAAUAAAUACUUUGGGAAAUUUUUUGGAGCUUGGCGCCAAUUUGAAAAAACUCAGACAUGAACUGUGUAGCCCACGAAUACUGAAAACGUGAAGACAAAGUUGGGUGUCGGUGUAAGAGCACAGCACAGAAGGCGUAUGACACGCGAGAGCUGCGUCAAUAGGCCCUUUACGUCACUGGUAAAGCUUCCAGCCGUUAGCAGGCUGUCGGGGGCUAAGUUCUGGCGGAGUCACAGGUUAUGUGUCGAUUUGCAACUGCACGAGGGUCCGCCCCCUCCCCCCUCGUCGUGUGCAGGUCAACCGUAUUCACCUUUAAUGACUUGGCCAUGUAGCUGUCUUGAUUUUUGUUCAGAACCUUUAUCUGAUGUCGGACAGUAUGAAUUUGCUACGAACUCUCAGAAAACAUGUCUUUCACAACGACUUUAUCUUCAGGCACCCUACAGUUUACUUGAAGCACUAAAACAGCAUUUAGCUUCUUUGGAAGAGAAAGAGGACAGUUUGCCUCCUUACAGUCUCCAGCAUGCAUGGAUUCCCUCCAUCCCGAAUAAUCCAGUUGUGAAAACUUCAGCAAGUGGAUCUUGGUUUACAGCCUACAAACCUACUGGAGCCAGAAAGCAACAUGAAAAAACCGUGGCAAACAAUCUGGACAGAUCACUUGUUAGCCUUAUAGAAGGUAAGCAUCUAUUUCUAUUUUUAUUUAUUUAUUUAUUUUAAAGAUUUUAUUUAUUUAUUCAUGAGAGACACAGAGGCAGAGACACAGGCAGAGGAAGAAGCAGGCUCCCUGCGGGGAGCCCGAUGUGGGACUGGAUCCCAGGACCCUGGGGUCACGCCCUGAGCCCAAGGCAGACGCUCAACCACUGAGCCACCAGGCGUCCCAAGCAUCUAUUUUUAUAUUAAUAUUUUAUACAAGUAUGUGUGUGUAUAUAUAUAUAUAUAUUUAAAAGCAUUUUAGAAAAAGUAUACAAAAAUAAUGUAAAAUUUGUUUGUUUUAUGAAACAGAUUUUAACCAUGGAGAACCCUCAGUCAAAAAGUAAGUUUUUAUAAUUUAAAAAUGACAGCCAAUAAUGCAU
rnacentral:lncRNA from 1 species